rnacentral:lncRNA from 1 species
AACUAUUCCAUAUAAUAUUCUAAUGGUAGAUACUUGCCAUAAUGUAUUUGUCAAAACCCAUAGAACUUUACAGCAAAAAAGUAAUUUAUGCAAAUCUUUAAAUAUCUCUUAAGAGGUCUGGAAAUCCCAGGAUUGAAUAUAGAAUGUGGCAAAAUUAUCCCACCAUAUUACAAAUGUACGAAACAAGCUCACUGAUGGGCAUAGGAGUAAAGGUGCUGACCUAAGUAACUUUGACAAUGAGUGGAAUCUAUGAGACUAAAGGCUGAAAGAAGCACACAGAAGCACUGCACUGUGGCUGAUAAAGUUGCUGCCCAACAGCACAUCUCAACAUUGGAAUCAACUGAUAUGUUAUCCUGUCCCAUCUACUGGAUUCAUGUUUGUGCAGUGCUUCCUUAACCACCUCUAUAUAAGCAGAGGGUAUUGUGAUAAUGCAAGGUAAGUUGUUUAAAAAAAAAAUCACCACUUGCAUCUCCCUAUCUGUGUGAAUAUGGACUCUCUCCAAGUUAUGUAAGCAAAAGCCAUGACAGAUAUUGGCUGCAGGUUCAUUUAUCUUCAACUUUCCGGUAUAAUCUCAAUUUUGAAUUGUUUGUGUUUACUGAAACAACUUCAUGAAGUGACUUUAAAAAAUACAAUGUAAAAAUAUAUUCUAUAAUUUCAAUGUUAUAAAGUACAUUUAUAUUAAUAAAUAUUAUUGUUU